AGCUUUGUGCAGUGGCAGUUAUCGUAGCCAAUGAGGUUUAUCUGAGUCGUGAUUAUUGCUAGCUGAAGACUUUUCCCAGCCUCUGUCAUUAUACCAAAAUAGUUAAGAUGAUAAACACGGAAGCUUGCUUU
ensembl:snRNA Gm23459 predicted gene, 23459